rnacentral:rRNA from 1 species
UACGUAGGUGGCAAGCGUUGUUCGGAUUCACUGGGCGUAAAGGGUGCGCAGGUGGUCGGGUAAGUCUGACGUGAAAUCCCGCAGCUUAACUGCGGAAUGGCAUUGGAUACUAUUCGGCUAGAGGGUUGGAGGGGGGACUGGAAUUCCUGGUGUAGCGGUGGAAUGCGCAGAUAUCAGGAGGAACACCGGUGGCGAAGGCGGGUCUCUGGGCAGUAACUGACGCUGAGGAGCGAAAGCGUGGGGAGCGAACAGG